rnacentral:rRNA from 1 species
AUUGCACGCUGGCGGCAGGACUAACACAUGCAAGUCGAGCGAACGGCGGACGGGGGAGUAAUGUAUGGGGAUCUGCCCGAUAGAGGGGGAUAACUACUGGAAACGGUGGCUAAUACCGCAUACUAUCGGAUGAACCCAUAUGGGAUUAGCUAGUAGGUGGGGUAAAGGCUCACGUAGGCUACGAUAUCUAGCUGGUCAUAGAGGAUGAUCAGCCACACGGGGACUGAGACACGGCCCAGACUCCUACGGGAGGCAGCAGUGGGGAAUAUUGCCCAAUGGGCGCAAGCCUGAUGCAGCCAUGCCGCGUGUAUGAAGAAGGCCUUAGGGGUGUAAAGUACUUUCAGCGGGGAGGCGUUACCCGCAGAAGAAGCACCGGCUAACUCCGUGCCAGCAGCCGCGGUAAUUC